AGUGCCUCCUGCAGACCUCUGAUGAACCAACUGACAGAGAAUGCCCAGUCUCUGCUGCCAGCAGCAUUUCUGCUGCCCUCUGUGUAAAAUGAGAGCUCCCAGGAAUAUCAGUACAACCCGAAAAGAAAUGCCGGUGCUCUAAUUUUCUAGAGCAAUGCUUCUCUUCCCUACACUUCUUCUAAGAUGCAGCUGAGCACUGGACCAUGACAAUGUUACACAGAAAUUGAUGGUGCAGAAAGACUGAGAGGCAAUGGGCAGAAGAAGAUGCUCUCUGGAAACAUCUGAGAUGUUGAAGAGUGAAACAGAGACAACAGAAUCCAGUAUCCAUUCAAAAUAAGAAACAGCAAACAGCUAGUUUUUAGGAAGAGAGAAAAAAAGAUUUUAAGUUCACUUAUUUUGACAACAUGGUUCACAAGGACUUGGGGUGUGAAGAGGCAUCAGACUGCUCAUCUCUCCAGCAGUACCAGGACCAAGGAGACUCAGAAAGAGACUAAAGCAGUCGGCAAGCAGGAAAGAGAGAGAAUUGGUUUUCCCCACACCACAAAAUGACAUUUCCUCCUGGACUUCAUGGAAAAAUGCAAUGGCUUCCUGUAGAAUGGUAUG